rnacentral:rRNA from 2 species
GUUUCGGUGGCCAUAGCGAGAGGGAAACACCCGGUCCCAUUCCGAACCCGGAAGUUAAGCCUUUCUACGCCGAUGGUACUGCAGGCGGGAGCCUGUGGGAGACUAGGAAGCCGCCGGACU